rnacentral:rRNA from 1 species
AGUGAACGCUGGCGGUAGGCCUAACACAUGCAAGUCGAACGGCAGCACAGGAGAGCUUGCUCUCUGGGUGGCGAGUGGCGGACGGGUGAGGAAUACAUCGGAAUCUACUCUGUCGUGGGGGAUAACGUAGGGAAACUUACGCUAAUACCGCAUACGACCUACGGGUGAAAGCAGGGGACCUUCGGGCCUUGCGCGAUUGAAUGAGCCGAUGUCGGAUUAGCUAGUUGGCGGGGUAAAGGCCCACCAAGGCGACGAUCCGGAGCUGGUCUGAGAGGAUGAUCAGCCAAGCUGGAACUGAGACGCGGUCCAUACUCCCACGGGAGGCAGCAGUGGGGAAUAUUGGACAAUGGGCGGAAGCCUGAUCCAGCCAUACCGCGUGGGUGAAGAAGGCCUUCGGGUUAUAAAGCCCUUUUGUUGGGAAAGAAAUCCAGCUGGCGAAUACCCGGUUGGGAUGACGGUACCCAAAGAAUAAGCACCGGCUAACUUCGUGCCAGCCGCCGCCGUAA